rnacentral:pre_miRNA from 1 species
AGUUCAUCCCUGGGACGCUAUCGGGUUGUGAACCGAGCUGCCCUAUGAUGGACUAU